rnacentral:rRNA from 1 species
GAUGAACGCUGGCGGUGUGCCUAAUACAUGCAAGUCGUACGCAUUCUCGUUUCUGAUUGACGGUGCUUGCACCUAAUUGACGAGACAUUGGAAUGAGUGGCGGACGGGUGAGUAACACGUGGGUAACCUGCCCAGAAGCGGGGGAUAACAUUUGGAAACAGAUGCUAAUACCGCAUAAAAGUCAAAACCACAUGGUUUUGAUUUGAAAGAUGGCCUUUGUGCUAUCACUUCUGGAUGGACCCGCGGCGUAUUAGCUAGUUGGUAAGGUAACGGCUUACCAAGGCAAUGAUACGUAGCCGAACUGAGAGGUUGAUCGGCCACAAUGGGACUGAGACACGGCCCAUACUCCUACGGGAGGCAGCAGUAGGGAAUCUUCACAAUGGGCGCAAGCCUGAUGGAGCAACACCGCGUGAGUGAAGAAGGGUUUCGGCUCGUAAAACUCUGUUGUUAAAGAAGAACGUAUCUAAGAGUAACUGCUUAGGUAGUGACGGUAUUUAACCAGAAAGCCACGGCUAACUACGUGCCAGCAGCCGCAGUAA